GACAGAGGGUGCAAACGUUGUUCGGAUUUACUGGGCGUAAAGCGCGUGUAGGCGGCUUUGCAAGUCGGAUGUGAAAGCCCACGGCUCAACCGUGGAAGUGCAUCCGAAACUGCAUGGCUGGAGUCUCGGAGAGGAAGGUGGAAUGCUUGGUGUAGAGGUGAAAUUCGUAGAUAUCAAGCAGAACACCUGCGGCGAAGGCGGCCUUCUGGACGAUGACUGACGCUGAGACGCGAAAGCGUGGGGAGCAAACGGG
rnacentral:rRNA from 1 species